GGAAGGAUCAUUAUUGAAUUAUGUUUCUAGAUGGGUUGUAGCUGGCUCCUAGGAGCAUGUGCACGCCUGUCUGGACUUCAUUUUCAUCCACCUGUGCACCUUUUGUAGUCUUUGUUGGGUAUGGAGGAAGUGGUCAGCCUUAUCAGCUCUUGCUGGAUAUGAGGACUUGCAGUGUGAAAGCAGUGCUGUCCGCUACUUGGCCAUGGAAUCUGUUUCCCGUCAGAGUCUAUGUUAUUCACUAUACCCUAUAAACUGUUAUUGAAUGUUUUUACAUGGCUUCUAUGCCUAUGAAAAUUGUAAUACAACUUUCAGCAACGGAUCUCUUGGCUCUCGCAUCGAUGAAGAACGCAGCGAAAAUGCGAUAAGUAAUGUGAAUUGCAGAAUUCAGUGAAUCAUCGAAUCUUUUGAACGCAUCUUGCGCUCUUGGUAUUCCGAGGAGCAUGCCUGUUGAGUGUCAUUAAAUUCUCAACUCUCCUAUACUUUGUUGUAAAGGAGGGCUUGGACUGUGGAGGCUUGCUGGCCGCUUGAUGUGGUCAGCUCCUCUGAAUGCAUUAGCAGAACUGUUUGCGAUCUGCCACAAGUGUGAUAAAUUAUCUACACUAGCGAGGGGAUUGCUCUCUGUGUUCAGCUUCUAAUCGUCUUCAGUGACAAUUUUUUGAAUGCUUGACCUCAAAUCAGGUAGGACUACCCGCUGAACUAAGCAUAUCAAUAAGCGGAGGAAAAGAAACUAACAAGGAUUCCCCUAGUAACUGCGAGUGAAGCGGGAAAAGCUCAAAUUUAAAAUCUGGCGGUCUUUGGUCGUCCGAGUUGUAAUCUAGAGAAGUAAUGCCCGUGCUGGACCGUGUAUAAGUCUCCUGGGAUGGGGGCGUCAUAGAGGGUGAGAAUCCCGUCUUUGACACGGACUACCAGUGCAUGUGGUAUGCUCUCAAAGAGUCGAGUUGUUUGGAAUGCAGCUCAAAAUGGGUGGUAAAUUCCAUCUAAAGCUAAAUAUUGGCGAGAGACCGAUAGCGAACAAGUACCGUGAGGGAAAGAUGAAAAGAACUUUGGAAAGAGAGUUAAACAGUACGUGAAAUUGCUGAAAGGGAAACGCUUGAAGUCAGUCGCGUUGGCCGGGGAUCAGCCUUGCUUUUGCAUGGUGUACUUUCUGGUUGACCGGUCAGCAUCAGUUUUGACCGCUGGAAAAGGGCCUGGGGAAUGUGGCAGCUUCGGCUGUGUUAUAGCCCCUGGUCACAUACGGCGGUUGGGAUUGAGGAACUCAGCACGCCGCAAGGCCGGGUUUCGACCACGUUCGUGCUUAGGAUGCUGGCAUAAUGGCUUUAAGCGACCCGUCUUGAAACACGGACCAAGGAGUCUAACAUGCCUUGCGAGUAUUUGGGUGAAAAACCCGAGUGCGCAAUGAAAGUGAAAGUUGAGAUCCCUGUCGUGGGAGCAUCGACGCCCGGACCAGAACUUUCGGGACGGAUCCGCGGUGGAGCAUGUAUGUUGGGACCCGAAAGAUUGGUGAACUAUGCGCUGAAUAGGGUGAAGCCAGAGGAAACUCUGGUGGAGGCUCGUAGCGAUUCUGACGUGCAAAUCGAUCGUCAAAUUUGGGUAUAGGGGCGAAAGACUAAUCGAACCAUCUAGUAAGCUGGUUCCUGC
rnacentral:misc_RNA from 1 species